ACCGCCUGAAUGUGACCUCGAGAAAUGGAAAAACUUGAUUGACAAGAAGUGGAAUGAUACCAAUUGGUUGGUAAACUUUUCUUAUGUUUAUUUAUUGUUGACAAUUACCUUGUCUUCCUAAUAUAUAUAUUUUUCUAUUGGAACUUGCUCCUUGUAGAAGCAAUCAAAUGCUAACAUUGACAAUAGAAAUCAACUGAAGACGAAGCAUAGGUGUGGGUCAAAAUCUCUCCCAGUUAGGGUACACGAGGCGACAAUUGCAAAUGGGGGCCAACUGCCAGAGUUGCCAUGUGUUUACAAAUCUACACACUUUAAUGAUGUCACAAAGCAGUGGAUUUCUCCGGAGUGCGAAGAGAAUUAUGAUAAUAUGAUAAAGAUCCAAGCUGAACAUUGCUCCCGACCUGGUGUGGUUCCAAUUACACCGGAG